GCUAGGGGUAGUUCAGUGGUAGAGCAUUUUCCUAGCAUGCAAAAGGCCUUGGUUUCCAUCCCCAUCAUUGCA
rnacentral:tRNA from 1 species